CCCGCGCCGCCCCCCCGCGCCGCCGCGCGCGCGCAGGCCGUUGGGCGCGCUCAGACGCGCGGAGGCUGCCAGGCCGCGGGGCAGCGCCAAAGUAUGCCGUGGGGCAACGCCAAAGUAUGCAAAGGAAAAAUGCUAUUAGCUCAUCAGCGCUGGAGAGGCUGGAAACGGGGCGGUGGGGAGGGGGGCGUUCGCAAGGAAGGAAACAUGUUUCUGGAAAAAUGUGCUGGCCUGCACAUCUCACAGCCUGGAGCGCCUGCCGGGGACCUUCGUUUAGCGUCGAGUAACAGUCAGUCUCCCUUAAUGACCUUUUAAUUAGGAGAAAACCUUCAUCAAAUAAACUCUUGACUAUUGACUUUUGGUUUUCUGUGUAUGAGUCACACGAGAAAUACACUACCAGCGCUCCUCUCAGAGUAGGUUUUCAUUGAAAAAUGAAAUUUCGCAUGGGAGAGACUUAGCCCUCACUAGAACAAAUAAACUUGGCUGGGAGAGCGUCUCCCCAAAACUAUGCUUGGAGCAGAGUGGCAGGUUGUGAUCUGAAAUGUGGCUCUCUUCCUUCCUGCUAUUACAAGAGUUCAUAAAUGCUCUGUUUUGAUAAGUCUGAUCACCCAGCGAGGCAAACAAAUUAAGAUCCAUGGAUUUCAGCCAGAAAUCCUUAUGGGUGUAUUUUUCCAAGGGCUGUUUGCUUAUGAAUCCUUGCAAAGGAAUGGAGGAGAAUACAAAAGUACUGCUUCACCACAAGUUUGACGACAGCGAGGAUUUUUCAUAUGCAACCCUGUGAAACCUUACCGUUGUAGGCUGGAAAUUUUUAUCCUACUCAGUGUGUUCAAAGCACCUUCCUGAUGCAGCCAGGUUUCAGAGGUCAGGUUAACAGUCCAAGUGAUACUGGCUCUGCAGAUAUCUGCCCUUGCAGUCUAGUGAUCUUGAUAUAGUUCUCUUGAAAAAAAGUUAUUGCAGUUUAGUUAUGUAUUACUCGAAAUGGAAUACACUUAGUAAUCAAAAUCCUGCAAAACGCAGUCCUGCAGCAAAGGAUUGUGAUGCUGAUUUAAACUGCUAUCUGAUUAGCAGUAGUAGUAGUACUUCAUUUUAAAGUCGCUCUUUGUAGCCUCUGAAAUCGGUGGUCCUGUCUUGGGUCUUAAAGUUACCACGUGGACAAGUGGGUUAGAAGCUAAGACUGGGGGCUGGGGUAGGCUGCUCCCAGAGCCACACUCUGCUUACUCUGCUGUGCAUCUCAGGAGAGCUGUACUGCAGACAAGUGUGCAGCCUAGUGGACUUACUUAAGCACUGUUCACAUCCUUGCAGUCAUCCAGAUGAUCUAACGGUUAACAUCGCUGGGAAAUCAAUGGUUUCCCUAAACAUUCCCGAGCUGGAGAACACUCUGAGAAGCAUGGGAAGGUAUGCACCCAAGAAAGUGUAGUCUUCUUACUUGGAAUACUCCAGCUGGCUGAUAUGCACGUCCGUUAUCACUGCUAGCGAGCACUGGGCUGGCAGGGAGCAUCUGCUGGACUGGGCCCCCAAAGGGAACAAGUUUUGCCUGGAACAAUCAGUGACUAAGACUGAGGAAAAUGGAAAGCUUGAAAAUAAGGAAAAUACAACACUGAAGAAACAAGUCAACAGAAUCAAGCAGAUACUAAUUGAAGACUGGUCUUUAGGAGUAAGCACAGAAACUGUCUUGUGCUACUGGACUGACAAAAACACUGAUGUGUGUCAACAAACAGCAAAGAGAACCUCUUACUCUCCAGCAUCAUUUCCUAGACCAGGAAGUUUGGAUAUCCAAGCACGUAAAGACAAUCUGACCCUUUCCUCUCAUGGGGUCAUCAAGCAUGUUUGGAUGAAUCUGUGCUCCUGGCUGAGCUGUGGUUAUCACAUACGAACAUUUUCUCUGAACUGCUCAUCUGUUUUUGGGCAUAAGCUUUGGCACUUAAGCAGAGAAAUGGAGGGAUCUUUUACAUACAAAUUGAUUGAGCACAUAAACUUCCCUGCCAAAAAAGAAAUCAUGUAAGGCGUUUCAGAUACUUCUAAGAAAAGCAGAUGGCGGUGGCAGUGCUUUUAAUCAUUAGCAAAGUGUCCAGAGCACUCGGUGAUAUGGAGGAUGCAGAUUUGAUGCCUCUGUCAGGUUAUGGGAGCCAUGGUUUGAACACUGAAGGAAAUGGGUUCCCUGCUCACUGGGCUAGAACAUAUUGAAAUAGAUGUGCUCGCAACCCCUCAGUCCGACACUGUUUUGCUGCAGAAGCCUGUUGUCCUAAUCACCAGGUUAGAAAGUCCUUCUGUCUCAGUAGCAGUUACUAUAUUUUGAGCAAAGUGGAUGAGUGUGAAUAGACAGAGGUCCUUCCUUAGAACGUGGUCUGUCCUAGUGGUUAAAACAUUGUUGUGACAAGUAGGUAACAUUGGUUCAACCGCCUGCCAUGUGUCACGCUGAAAAGAUUUUACUUGGGAUUUCUCAUCUCUUAGUCUGACCUUCAAAAACGUCAUUUCUCCAGACCAAAGGAACCUCUACACUGGCAUAAGAUAGCUCUUAAGAGCAGUACACCAGCCAAAAAUAAUUACAGUCAAUUCUCCAUUAUCUGAGGGAAGGAAAGAAAUAUUUUCCCAAUAGUAGAAAAACACAGAUGAUGCAGGUACUGGGAGCAGUCACGGAACCAGUUCUCAUAAGCCUGGCCAGACCUAGGAGUCUCUCUGCACUGCACACUCCUGAUGCUGCAAACUAGAGGAGGACUUACUCAUUCAGACACAGCGCCCAACCCGAACUGGCUCUCUGAGUGCACCACAUUGCAAUAGAGCUAGUAAGCUUUCUGGGAAUCUGGAGCACUCUGCAGCAUAGUAGCAGCCAGGUCAUAUUUGAUAUGGCACAAACACAAGUGCAUAAAAUCUGCUGGUCUCCUGCUGACAAAGAAGAGCCCCUUGAAUGUGUCUUCAGGGGGUUUCACAGUACUGGUUCAGAGAGCAUGGUGUGGAGACAACAGGUCUGGCUCUCCACUGAGCUAAUCCCAGUCCAAGCCUAGGCUAUAUUCUGUGUAAAAGCUGCUGUGCUACAGCUGAAUUCUGCCCCAAGAUAAUAACUCAAGGAGCCUGGAUAGCUUCUUGCAGAGCCAGUUGUACUCUCUCUUCUUCUGUAGCAUGGUUAAUCAGCUGUAGAGAUCUGCUACUCACAGAUAGUUAAGUGAGAAAAUGUAUGGAAAAUGUGUUAUAAUCGUGCCACUUGGUUUUCUGAUGCUUGCUGGCUUGCCACCCGCAUAGUGGAUAUGGGAGUCAAACAGCACUGUAUUGUCCAUGGAACUUUGUCAUUAUUCUCUUUUCACCUUUUACCACCUCCUCAAGCAUCUUGCAGGCAAAACUGCAAGAGUCCAUCACUGCCAAUCCAUGCUCAAAGAGAAGUAGCAGAGAGAAUGAUGGGAGAAGCGUUGUUCAUCCAAAUCACAGCGCACAGUGAACAGCUAAAGUGGAAUGGCUGAGCAAACAACUUAUAUUCCUGGUUCUGAGAAAACAAUAGAAUUGAGCAUAGGCAGGCAGGAUGACAACCAGGAGAUGGCUCCAGAAAUGACUCCCAUGUUAUGUCUUCAACUCCUUUGCUUUUCUAGCUCCAGCAGCAGCAGCAGAAAGUGAGUAUAAAGUCAUGAGAAGGAUGGAAAAUCCUAGAGAAGCUGUGGGCCUUAGUGAUAUCUAAUAGGGCUGAGAGAAAUCUAGAAGAUGAUUGUGGGGUUGCCAAGGAAUGAACCUUUGAUACCCUGAAAAGAAAGAAGCUGAGAAGCUCAAAAAGUGAUAAGUGGGUCAGAUUCCACAGAGAAAGUUGUUAUCAUGUCAGAUAACCAUGCCAUAAAAAGGAAUGGAGUGCAAACUGUGAGAGAAGAAGCUUAGGAGGAAGUAGCAGAAAUGCUGAAGAAGACCUGGAAGUGUUUUUUGUCACAGGAGCAUGAGUGAAUUGGGAGUUGAACAGGGUGUUUCCAGUUAAAAGUUACUGAGCGAUUUAGAACAGUAAAUGAAUAGGCAGUUAGAAGCAUAGUUUCCUUGACAAAGAUGGAUGGGUAGUGUGGUGUUUGGGAACAGUGAACAUAUGACUGAAGUAGAUGUGUGACUGAGCAGGGAGGAUGAAGUUAUUUAUGUUUUUAUGACAGAAUAUGACCAACAGGUAUGACUGCGCAAUGAAGACAGAGGUCAAAAAGCUGAAAACUGACAGGAGAGGGAAAGAAAAGGAAACUAAGGGAGGAAGAAAAGAAGUUGAAGAAGAAAGUUAGUACUGGAAGCUAGUUCCUUUUACAAGAUAGCAAUGUGCCAUAGGAGAAGAAAACAGCAUUAGAGAAGUCGAGUGUUACGAGGAUAUAAAGAGUUUAAAUGGAAAGUGGUGUAGAAAAACUAAGAGACAGAGGGAAGACUUAGAAGUGGAAGAGGAAAGAGAAGGAGAUCAAAAAAAAAAGGAGACAGUGAGUUAAGCUUUUAUUAAUGCAAGGGGACUGCUGGUCUUGCAAAGUGGCUGCAUCAUAAAUCUUACACUAUGAAACUCUGUGCGUCUCAGACAAAGGCUUUGAUUGGUCUCUUUCAGAAUGUGCUUCGACGUUCUCAGGAAAGGCCUUGGUGGAUGUUUCACAUGUUUGGCAUAUGUUUAUUCUGAUCCCUUGACAGACUACAUAUUGGGGACCUUCAAGCGUUUUCAGACCCAUCCACAGACUGAAGAAUCUCUGACUUUCUUCACUCCUUGGUUGAGUGCAGAGAGAUUUUAGAUCCCACAUCACAUUUAAAAUACACAGCUGUUGUUUGAGUGACAUCUUGGCUUAGUAUGGCUUAGUAUGGGAGAAAAACUGGUCAAAGUGCCUUUCUCAUCUUUUUUGGCUUUAAUAAAAUUCUGGAUCUUGCCUAAGUGUGAUUUUUAAGGAAGAAUUGAAAAUCUGUCCUUUUAGCUGACAUUAUUCCUGGCUCAUUUACUUUCCAAUGCAGUUAAUGGAUGGAAAAAGACUAAGUAUAGGGAACUUGUAGCUGUUCUACUUCAAAACCCAUUUUUGGGGAUGCUGUGAAAAAAUUGGAAAUGGUAGGCUGGUGGGGCAAAAUACCAAAAAUCUUUCAUUUGUAACUGCAAAUAGAGAGGGUAGAGGUUUAAAGACACUGAGGCUUAAAUCCCUGUGAGGGCCACUUAGGAGGAAUUACAUGACUCAUAGAUUUUAGAGCCAGGAGGGAUCAACAGAUCGUUAGUUUGACCUACUGUGUAACAUGGACUGUAGUAUUUCAUCCAGCUGGUUUUGCAGCAGGCCUAAAGCAUAUCUUUCCCAAUAUCAGGUGGACUUGAUUCGAAGACUGCAAGAGAUGAAGAAUUCAAUGUAUCAAUUAAUAGUUUGUCCUCUGGUAGUUUGUACCUUACUGUUUCAAAUCUGUUGCUUUUAUAUUUAACUCCAAUUUAUACAGCUUCAACCUCUAUCUUUUUUUUUUUCGUUAUGUCUUUUCUGCUGUAUUGGAGUCCUUUGUGACCUAUUAUUUUCUCCAUAUGAAGGAUGCUUAUGAUGUGAUGAGUAUGUGUAAGAUAUAAAGGAUGUGCAAAAAGAACAGGCUCUGUCGAGACAGUGUGGUAAUAUGAGUCAUUAGAAGGGCGAACAUCUGUUCUCAAGGAAAUUGCCUCAUUCUGAAGUAUACUACGUGUAGUUAGGCCCUCCUGCAGUGGAGCUGCAGUGAUGAUGAAUUUGAGGCAGUUUUGUCCCUAAGUUGACCUAUUAGUGUUCCAGUUUGCGUCUAUGUACUCAUACUAGGAGGCUAGGGCCACAGGGUCUUAGAGAGCUCCUUUGUAGUUUUCUUAAUUGAGUGGCAAUAAGAUAGCAGGGUUGAGUAGGCUGCCCUGGGGCCAAGGUGAUUCCAGCUCUUGGGACAGCUUUUGGCAACGGUGGCUGCGUAUGUGGGAUGCUAUGAAAGUGAGCGAGCGAGUGAAACGGCAGACUGUGUGAGGCUGCAGUGAGUCAGCCACUCCGAGGGAGUUGGAAGAAAUGUAUAGUCUAUAUAGAGGAACAUUGGACUGCCCCGAACUGGAGGCCAAGGAGUUCUGAUUUCUGCAAAUUCAAUUCAUCUGAUGUUCUUGGCAGUCCGUGUAAGGAAAUUGACAGCAGAGAGCUCUAGUGUGUGAGGAGUGAUGACUCUCAAGCUGCCUUCUGGGAAAGCAGGCCAAUAAAUUUGGUUACCCUGUAUUGCAACAACAGUCCAGGAGAGGGAGCAUAAACUCAGAGUAGUAUCCAGGGCAAUAUAAAUUGUCUCGUUGUGGUGGACUGAGCAUUAUAUGACUAAUGGCUGGAGUAUGGACACACAUUCACAGGAAACAUUUGUGUAUGAAUGUCUCUCAUAACUAAUGAUUUUACCUUUGUUUGCCAAGACAGGGAAGUUCUAUGGUUUAAUUAAAAUUCUUCUUCAUGAAAGUCUUUUUCCAGAAAGUUCAUCAUCUCACAGUCUUCAUGCCGUGAUUUAUUCUUCUGUUGCUUCUUCUAAAUACUAUGUCUGUUCUUUUCUAGCCAAACACUAGAAUUCUUUCCUUCCCUUUAUUACUUUUUGGAGUCUCAAAACUCAGUCUCAGAACUUCUCUUGUUAAUGGUACUAGUUCAAAAGAUUUCACAUUUCUCCUUCUAAUUUGUGUUACUGACAAGUGAUAUCAUUACAGUGUGCGAAGCUGUUGAAGAUGCUGUAGGAGCAUAACUGUGAGUUUUAAAUGUUUUGGGGAAAAGAAUCAGUAGGUAUUUUCAGGUGAUCACAACACUGAAAUGUCACUAACACUGUGUAAUUUGCUAAUAUUCCGGCCUUGGAAUGUGUGGUAGUAUUUCACUGUGUGAAGAAUUAUUGUUGCUUCAGCUGCAGCCAUAUCCAUCUCCCUGGGAAGACUUCCAGCUUCAAAGGGAAAUCUGGUUGUACAUGUUUGAACUGUGUUUUUAGCUGCAACAUAAUCUUUUCUGUCUUCUUGCUGCCCAUUAGAAAUGGUAAUGAAAAAAUGGCUCAAGGUUUAUUCAGCCUCAGUGUAACCUUUCUCUUUCUCAGGAAAUAAAAGUUCUUCAUUUCCAGCAGAGGAUAAUUCAGUUCCUGAUAUCCUUUUAGAUGUUUUGAAGUUAUGCUUUUUUGGAAUGUCUGCAUAGUAAUCUGUAGAGUAAAAGGACAUUACCUACCAAGGCGAUGUCAAAAAAUAAAUAUAUUAAUCCUCCAA